UGGGUCCAACCUCCCACCCGUGUUUAUUUUACCUUGUUGCUUCGGCGGGCCCGCCUUAACUGGCCGCCGGGGGGCUUACGCCCCCGGGCCCGCGCCCGCCGAAGACACCCUCGAACUCUGUCUGAAGAUUGUAGUCUGAGUGAAAAUAUAAAUUAUUUAAAACUUUCAACAACGGAUCUCUUGGUUCCGGCAUCGAUGAAGAACGCAGCGAAAUGCGAUACGUAAUGUGAAUUGCAAAUUCAGUGAAUCAUCGAGUCUUUGAACGCACAUUGCGCCCCCUGGUAUUCCGGGGGGCAUGCCUGUCCGAGCGUCAUUUCUGCCCUCAAGCACGGCUUGUGUGUUGGGCCCCGUCCUCCGAUCCCGGGGGACGGGCCCGAAAGGCAGCGGCGGCACCGCGUCCGGUCCUCGAGCGUAUGGGGCUUUGUCACCCGCUCUGUAGGCCCGGCCGGCGCUUGCCGAUCAACCCAAAUUUUUAUCCAGGUUGACCUCGGAUCAGGUAGGGAUACCCGCUGAACUUAAGCAUAUCAAUAAGCGGAUGAUUACGAGUGAGGGCCCUCUGGGUCCAACCUCCCACCCGUGUUUAAUUUACCUUGUUGCUUCUGCGGGCCCCCUUAACUGGCCGCCGGGGGGGUUACGCCCCGG
rnacentral:rRNA from 1 species